CACAAAGAUCCCUUCCUUUCCAUAUCAAAAGAUGGCAUGCUGAUCACCGCAGUAUUUGGUUAGAUCAAGGAAAAGGCCUUUUGUAGCCACUUUUAAUCAGAAUAUGUAAUGAAGUCUUCCUUCAGCUCCAGUUCAAAUAAAAACUGAAUGCUCCCCAGGGUCAAGGCUCAUGCCUUGCAAAAGUCAGUCCUGGAUGUGAGCUGAGGAAGCUGAGAAAUUCACAAAUCUGGCCAAUUAGUCUGGCAAGAGUAAUCACUGACAUCAGUCUUGCAAAGUCUCUGCUUUUCAUGACGCCUACUUUUAACCCCCAAUCUACCAGGUGCCAUGCUGAAUCCUGCUAUCAGAUCAUUAUUUUGUUUUUAAAGAGGAAAUCAGGAAGAAAAGUGAGGUGGGCUGUGUAACAUGAGAGCUUUAGGAUGUUGGAAUCAAAAUUCAAAAUUUUCAGGUCAAACUCCAUCUGAGCAGGAGCUUAAACAACCUGAGGGGUCACUACCCUUUUUAAGGAACUGCCUUUCAGGUACCCUCUAAUAGGAUCUUCAGGACACACACUUUAUGUGAAAGCAGAUAUUUUACUACCUUGAAGAGGCUGUGUUAUGCCCAGUUGCCGUGCACAUGCUAGAAAACAUGAACUGGGAAUCCACCAAUAAUCACCUGAAGAAGGAAAAGAAAUAAUGCCAACAAGGAAGAAAUCUGACAUAAUUCCUGGUCUCCUGGCUAACUUCAGAGAAACACACUGCUUCUGAAAAUUUACGGAAAAGAAAGAAUGAGAAUGCCACAAGAUAAAAGAAAAAAAGAAGUAGAAAAAAUAGUGUUUGAAAUACUCCUCUGUGACAUGGAUAAGAGAAGAUUAAGUAAGAAAAGCUAAAACUCUCUCUUUGCUACUUUGAAAAAAAGGGUUCACAAGGUGCCUGAAUGUACUAGUCAGCAGGUUUGGCAUAAACUGGUUUCUCUUUUUCCAUGUUGGAUCUAUCUAAAUUUUGCACAAAUCAUUAAAAAUUCAAUUUGCCAGAGGAGAGACAGAAGCAUCCUGACCGCAUAGUGUACUGGCUGGGAUAGUGAAGAGACGCAACAUAAAGUCAUAGCCUUGUUCAGUUUGAAGUCUUGGCCUUUGGACUCUGCUAGGAUGACUCUUUAAUUUUUUCUUUGAAAUGUUCUACUGCAAACCUGAGAGAUAUUGUUCAUAAAAAUUUCUUCAAGCCAAUUUGUUUUUGCCAACAAUUUUAGUUCUAAGAAGUCACUGUUUUCUCACAUAUAUUCUCUCAUAUUUUUAGAAAAACCACCCUCAUUCAUUUUAACUACAAAAAUUUAUUUCUGAAAUGAUCCUAACUUUGAUACCUUUGAUACUUGUGUUGCAGUCAUUUCAGGGGAGUAAAGUUACACAUACCGUGGAAUUUCAUCAGCACAGAUGAAAAAUCUGAACAAGAGGCAUGAUGAAUGGGUACAGCAGUAUUUUAUAGCUCAGACAAGCUGUAUGCCAGAGGAGUGGAGAUAUUCAUACUCCUGAGCUCUGCAGUUGAAUACAGCUGCAGUUAUGGAUUGUGGCAAUGACAACACAGUUUAGCAUGGUUUUUCCUGAGGGUUUAUAAUAUAAAUAUAAAUUUCUGAGGGAACCGAUCAUUCUGGAGAUUUUGUUGUAUCAAGUAUCAGACAUUUUUUUAUUCCUUCAUAUGACCACAACUGAAGCAAGAGAAGACUGUCUUCUACUUUUAGGCUCGUAGACUCUAGCAUAAGAACUGCAGGACUACUUAAUAAUAAUAAUGGUAAUAAUUUUAAUUUAAUGUAUUAAAUUAAUUAACAUAUUUCAUAUUCUAU
rnacentral:lncRNA from 13 species